GACGAACGCUGGCGGCGUGCUUAACACAUGCAAGUUGAACGGAAAGGCCCUGCUUUUGUGGGGUGCUCGAGUGGCGAACGGGUGAGUAACACGUGAGUAACCUGCCCUUGACUUUGGGAUAACUUCAGGAAACUGGGGCUAAUACCGGAUAGGAGCUCCUGCUGCAUGGUGGGGGUUGGAAAGUUUCGGCGGUUGGGGAUGGACUCGCGGCUUAUCAGCUUGUUGGUUGGGGAGUGGCUUACCAAGGCUUUGACGGGUAGCCGGCCUGAGAGGGUGACCGGCCACAUGGGGACUGAGAUACGGCCCAGACUCCUACGGGAGGCAGCAGUGGGGAAUAUUGCACAAUGGGCGGAAGCCUGAUGCAGCAACGCCGCGUGCGGGAUGACGGCCUUCGGGUUGUAAACCGCUUUCGCCUGUGACGAAGCGUGAGUGACGGUAAUGGGUAAAGAAGCACCGGCUAACUACGUG
rnacentral:rRNA from 1 species